UUAAAUAUAGAUGUCAUCAUGAGAAACAGCUGUUUGCAUUUCUUAUUUUAAAGUACAUCUAAAAUCCCGGAUGAAUUUCAUUUAUUGUGAAUAUUGCAAGCUACCGUGAAUAGUUGGAGAAUUUGAAGAAUGGCUACUUUUACAUACAUUUACAUCUUUACAUUUGUCUUUCUAUUAAGUAUUAAAGGACAAACACGACCCGAUGAUAGUAAUUGUGCUAAAAUAGUUCAACCAACUCAGGCUAGUCUUAGCAGCUAUAAUUCGGAACACG